CCUGGGUUACCAACGUCGGUAACCAACACGGGCGGGUCCUCAUGAGCGUCCUCACCUGCUCCGAGGGCGUCGGGGGGCCUGUCCAGGAUGGCGGCCGGGUUAAUGAGGCCGUACCGACCCGCCGGUAUACACCCCCCCACCCCCAGCUCAUCUAUGUGGGCCGCGACACAGACGGCGUGUCCAAAGGUGUCGGAUCUCCUCACAGACACUCUGCUCCAUGGUGCUUUUGCCCAGGCCGAAGUUGCGUAAGGUAGACAAGGCAAAGCGUCGCUGUUUCUUCCAAGUGUUCCCGUUGCUGACAAACAGACCACCUAGACACAAGCAUGCAGAGGAAGUGGGGUUGAUGAGAAUAGCCCUGAGGAAGACGAGGAGGAGGUGGCUGUGGAGGUUGGUGGAGCAGAAGGUGAAGAGCCUGCCUUCUUCUGGUCCGUCUCCAGCACGUACCUCUUCAGGUGGUCCAUGCGCGAGCCCACGGAGUGAAUGUGGGUUCUCCUGAGCCACAUCCUGUAGCUGUGGAGGGACAAAGCCUUGUUAGAUGACAACAGGAAACGCCUCACAGUGACGGUUGGAUCACGACUCGCUCGGUGACUCACCUCUGCACCACUGGAUCUGCAGACUCGUAGAAGGCUCGGUACGAGAGUCCAGCGUGGUCCCCGAAUCCCACCAGCCUGCUGUCCGGCGCUCCCUCGGAGACCUUCCUCCGGGUUACCACCUCCAUCAGGUCGGGGAACAGCUUGGCGUACCGCCACAGAGUGUCUUUGCUCAGCAUCGAGGCGUCAGUGCUGCUGUCCCCCGACUCCCGCCCCUUAAGAUGAGCCGCCACGAUCAUCAACAGGUAGCCGGUGUCGUGGCCAGCCAGUGGAAGGUCUGCCCUCUGUACUUCCCAAACUGGAUCUCAUGGUGGCUGAGAACCAGCUUGUUGUCAGUACAGUCUCCUUAGACGUUCAGGAGAAGACAUUGUCUAAAACCCUUUUUAGUAGGUGUUCCUAUGACAAUUUCAAAUGUUUCUUCAUGUAAAUGUGUUCAGGCCUUGACUGGCAUCAUGCAUGAUUAUUUUUGGAAGGAGAACCUUUCCACACAGAACUUCUUGGUGGAUAAUGCAAUGAUCAUUUAUCAGAGGUGUAUGGCAGUUAGCUUUUUGCAUUUUCUCGUUCACUAGUCCAAACAAGCCGGUUUUUUCACCACACAUUGCAGGUGCACCAUCGGUAGUUAACCCCACCAACUUCUCCGAGGGUAAAUUAGUUUUAGUUACGGACUUCUCCACUGCAUAAAAAUCUUUCCUAGCCGUCGUCGUCCCAUGCAUCGCAGCUACAUCCAAAAGCUCCUCACUGACAGUCAAGUCCGCCUUCACGCCUCUUAUAAAACUGAAUAGCUGCGCUGUAUCAGUGGUGUCUGCUUUCAUCAACAGCUAACGGAAAAGCCAAGUAACUGCUCGCCUCUUCGGCUAGCUGUGUUAGAUUUCCUGCUAGCUUCGUAACUCUGUCUGCGAUGGUGUUUCUUGACAAACUGGCAUUUUUAAGUCUCUAUCUGGUCGGGGCACACACUGUAAAACUUACCAGCUCAUCUUAAUAAAAGUAGUAAGCUAACCCAACUUAAAAUCACAUAGAAAGUUGUAGUUACUCGAGUGAACUGCAGCCAUAACGACUCAGCAUUUUGAGUUUGAUCAACUUCAGGUAGACUUUCAAGUUGUGUGUAUCAAUUCCAAUGAGUUGUAUUAACUCAGAUAAUCUAAAUUGAUUUUAUAGACAGAGGAUGUGUUCAAAAAAACGUAACUGUCUUGAUCUGUCGUUAAGACAGGUGUCUGUUCAUUUUUCUGCGUUUUUUCGCUUAGAUUUUUCAAAGGUUACCUAGAAAGACACUGUACUAUGCGAUAACACCGUUAUUUGUCAGGAUCUGUAGUAUGUUUUGUGUUUUAUUUUGUAGUCCCCAUCUCUCCCUUUUCUCCUC